UUACAUAAACCAUAUACAUCAUUAAGACGAUUAAAUGUCUAUUUAAUAUAAGACAGGAAAAUGUUCUAAGAGAAUUGCAGUUGAGCACAUCAUAACAUUACAGACAUAUGAGUGAGAGAUGUAUGUGUGCUAUAAUAUAGAAUUCACUGUCAACACUGCUUUAGAUGAAUGUAAGUAAUGUAAACAAACAAAUCUACAUAAAGUAAGGAAACAUAAGUUAUCUAUUUCAUUUGACCAUUAGUAUUGUUGAUAAAUUGAGAAACAUUUGUGUUGGAUAAAAAGCAAGUGAACACAUCAGCAACUAGCUCAACAUGUAAAAGCAGUAUAGAGCAGAUAAAUCACAGAGGAGACUGACUCUUGUCUGGAUGUUACAGGGACACAUGAGACACACGUGUUUUAAUCUGCUGCAGAGAAACUGAUGAAGGAAUGCUGCCAUCAAAGGCUCUCAAUCUUUUGUGGUGGAGCAGGUGAUGGCGGCAUUUGUGAAGAAAGGAAAACCUGAAACCAAAAUAUAAAGAUCUGAAUGUCUGCAGACUGCUGUGUGCACUGAGGAUGGAGAAGUCCAUCAGCAUCCUGGAAAUGGUCCAGUGUCAUGGGUGAAACGCUCCAUCACUUCAUCCGCUCUUGUUUUCUCAUUAGGACCGGAUGUUGCUGUGGUCUCUUCCAGAGCCGGACAGUAACGGAGUACAUUUACUUGAGUACAGUACUUAAGUACAAAUUUUGAGGGAUCUGUACUUUACUCGAGUAUCAUUUUUGGGGAGUACUCAUGACUUUA